UACGUAGGGGGCUAGCGUUGUCCGGAAUCAUUGGGCGUAAAGAGCGUGUAGGCGGUCCGGUAAGUCCGCUGUGAAAGUCGGGGGCUCAACCCUCGAAUGCCGGUGGAUACUGUCGGGCUAGAGUGCGGAAGAGGCGAGUGGAAUUCCCGGUGUAGCGGUGAAAUGCGCAGAUAUCGGGAGGAACACCAAUUGCGAAGGCAGCUCGCUGGGA
rnacentral:rRNA from 1 species